CGAACUUAUCUCAUUAGAACAGCUUGUAAAGCCAAUCUCCGUGCAGGUCUCGUCCCGACCUCGACGAGUUACACACAACUUUCGACGGCGAUUGAGAGUUAGAGCCUUGUCCCUUGGUUAACCGAAAUCGUUCGCGUUCUAACGGGAAAUCGUGGUCUGAAAAAGGGGCUAGCUAUUUGGAGAAAGAGAGAGAGAGUGAGAGGGGUCUAAGGAGGAGGAAAAAGAGGAGGAUAGCAGGUCAGGUCGAAGCAAUUUGUGAAAAGAAAAGGUAAUCAUGGAAAAGAGAGAGAGAAGAGUGAGAGAAAGAGAGAGAGAGAGAUGGUGAAUGAAAAUUGCCCUUUCGUUCUUAUUCUUUCGUCCAUUUUCUUCGUAUUUCAACACAGUUCGAACGAUCAAAAUAUGCCAUUCAAAAGAUGAAAAAGAAAAAGAGGUGGGGUUUUCACGAUCAGCAAGUAAAUCAAGCCACGCUCGAAUAUUAAGAGAUUGUACGAGAAGGACGGUGAAUACGGGCGUUAGCCGAGAUAGAACUCGUCUUUCGGAAUUUGUUUAUCGAUGUGUAGGUAUAUAAGAAAAGGAAUACAAUCGUAUAACGUUAUAUUCAGCCAGAUUUUUUUUUUUUCAAAUCUAAACAAUUAAGUAUUAUACGAGAUCAAAAGCGAGAUCUUCUUUAAAUUAACGAUGAAUAGAAAUUUUUAUAGUAAGAAAAUUCAAUUAGGUUCUCAUGUCUAAACAGAAUGCGAACAAAGGGCGAAUCGGUUUGUAAAAAUAAUGACGAAGAUCGACGAGCAGAAGUUCGAAAUUCUUCAAGACUUAAAUAACGUUGCUUUUGAAAACAUAUUCAAGAAGGAAACGGAUGUAAAAGCUAAUGCAAAUAGAUAGCCCUGGUGAACAAGUGAAUCUGUAGUUUAGACAAACGAAGAGAUAGAGAUAGAGAGUGUGAGAGAAAGAGAGAAAGAGAGAGAGAGAGAAUAGCAUUAUGUUAUAAAUUAGCCAUUGUUGCUGGCUCAUAUCCGGAUGCGGCUAACUGACGAAGGAUAAUUUAGCUUGGCCGUUCAGCAGUAUCCGCAAGAGUCGCCGCAACCGCGCCAGGUAUGACGUUUCUAAUUAGUAAGUCUGCUACGUGGAAAUUACGUGCGAUUUGUCGGCGAUUUUGAAACAGCAUUCGCGGAAAUCCACCUUCCCUGUCGGCCGAGAAUUCUCUUCCUUGAGUUAAACUUUGGCUCGAUCAAGUCUUCCUGAGUUUAGAAGAUGAAUAGAUCGACGUGAUUAGACCACAAACGUGUUCACCGGACAUGAUAUCAACGAACAAACUAAUUCAAAGAAUUGAAUCAUAUAUUAUACUAAAAAGUAACCUGACAUAAGUCUAUCCAAAAUCAAAUUUAUCUACAUUCUGAUGAUUUGAAAUCAUUGUGUGACUUGUGUUAGGCUGAUAUCGUAAUAAUCUCAUAUAUCUCUCUCUUUCUUAAUUCAUAAAUCACAGACAAUGAGUAUCCGUCAUAGAUGAAUUUUAUCGAAUCGUUCGUUAUUAAUAAAACAAAAAAAAAAGAUAAAUGACAUUAAACUAACAUAGAAACACGAGAAUGUAGAGAUAUAGAACUAGAAAAGUAUUAGAUUAUUCAAAGAAAUCGGGACGAAAAGCGGCGAGCAGGCAAAUUGGCGACCACGACUCUACCCACAGGCCAUCGAUUGUCGCGAAUUGAAAAACAAUUAGUGAAUUGCGGUUUCGAACGGCAUCGCCACCGCGCUACCUCCCCCCUCUCCCUCUUCGCUAUCUCCUCAUCCCUCUUUCCACGAGCAGCACCACCAUCACCACCACCACCACCACCACCACCACCAUCAUCUCUGUACCAUCCAUUCGUCCUCCGAUCUCGUGCUGAACAUCACCGUAUACAUUCUCGCAUUGGAUAUAUCGCCAUUAAUUUGCAUAGAGGUAAAGCCGAGCGCAAAAACCGGCCGAGCUUUACGUGCAAGUUUCCGUCGGGGAAAUAAUAAAUUUAUCACGCGGAAAUUAUCAGCCGGUAGAGAGGACGAAAGAGAGAGAAAGAGAUAUGAAUAUAUUGAAGACAAUUUUCACGCAAAAAUGAACUUUUCUCAAUGAUCAAAACAAUACGAAUUUUCAGGUAUUUUUCAACCAAUUUUUUAUCUCUCUCUCGCUCUCUCUUUCCCUCCCUCUUUAUAUAUCUAUCUAUCUAUCUUUCUAUGAUGCUUCUUCAUCCCUUUCGAUUUUUGUCUCCUCAUUACGAAUACCAAAAAGCAUUUUCAUCGUGAAAAGCUGUCAUCGAUGGCGGUCCAUCCUCUUUGAUUUUCCCUCUUCUAUAGAAACAAAUGGAUCGAAUGAAUAUACAUAUAUUGCUAUGUGUGGCCGAAUUCAAAGAUAUUAUAACAAACAAAAGCGUUUUAGGUAAUACUGAGUCCAUCGAACACGUUAUAUUUUCAUCGAAACGAAACACAUUUGACCAGUAGAUACGUAACACGCCUCGUUUCAUUAAAAUUUUGUUUAUUGAUAAAAGCGAGACAAUGUACGAUGUGAUAUUGCUUAACGAAAAGGUAUUGUCCGAGUGAGAAAAUUGAUUUAUAAUUUAUAUUGCUCUGCUAUAAUUAUUAUUUAUAAAAAUUCAAAUACAAUAUAGUUAUCAUUUUUUGUAUUUCUUUAUUUGAAUUUUAAUUUGUUUUCUUUGGUCUCCAUCUGAUUUCAUUUCUUCAAGAAGCUUCUUCCGCAAUUAGUUUUUCGUUCCGUUCGUUUCUUAGCAUCCCUUCGAUUGAUCUUAUUCUACGGAAUAAGUUGGAAAAAUAAUUCGAUUAGUUUAUCUCAAUCAUUUGCCGUUUGCGAGAAUCGAACAACAUUUUUUAAGAUACACUUUGUGAACAAAGACUAACUUCAAUAAAUAAAAACAGAAACGAUUAAAAACAUUGCAAUAAAAUUGAUAUUGUUUAAAUAAAUAAUCUUCUUACUAGAAAAUUCUUCUCCCAUUUAAUAAACUUGCUUUCGCUAUGUUGAGCGACAUUUAAUUAUUAUU